rnacentral:rRNA from 1 species
CCCUAAACGGCCGCGGUACAAAACCGUGCAAAGGUAGCACAAUCACUUGUCCCUUAAAUGAGGACCCGUAUGAAAGGCAACAUGAGAGAUAAACCUGUCUCCUAAGGUUAGCCAAUGAAAUUGAUCUAUCAGUACAAAAGCUGAUAUAACAAAGCAAGACAAAAAGACCCUAUGGAACUUUAACAAAUUACUUAAACAAAAUAAGCAAUAGUUUUAGUUGGGACAACUUUAGAAAAAAUAAACUUCUAACACAUCACCUUGACCAACAAGUCUCCAACACACAAGAUCCAGUAACACUGACAAACGGAACAAGCUACCCUAGGGAUAACAGCGCCACCUUCUCAAAGAGUUCAUAUCAACAAGAAGACCUACGACCUCGAUGUUGGAUCAGGGUACCCAGACGGUGCAGCAGCUGUCAAUGGUUCGUUUGUUCAACGAUUAACACCCUACGCGAUCUGAGUUCAGA